GACGAACGCUGGCGGCGUGCCUAAUACAUGCAAGUCGAACGGAAAGGCCCCUAUGGGGGUACUCGAGUGGCGAACGGGUGCGUAACACGAGCGUAACCUGCCCUUGACUUUGGGAUUACUUUAGGUAACUGGGGCUAAUACUGGAUAGGAAUCCUUGCUUCAUGCUGGGGGUUGGAAAGCUUCGGCGGUUUUGGCUGGGUUGGCUGCGUAUCGGCUUGCUGGAGGGGUAGUGGCUUACCAAGGCGUUGACGGGUAGCCGGCCUGAGAGGGCGACCGGCCACCUUGGGACUGAGGGACGGCCGAAGCACCUACGGGAGGCAGCAGGGGGGAAGACUGAACGAUGGGCGGAAGCUUAGUGCAGCAGCGCCGCGGGCGGGAUGACGGCCUUCGGGUUGUAAACCGCUUUCAGCAGGAGCGAAGCUUGUGGUGACGGUACCUGCAGAGGAAGCACCGGCUAACUACGUG
rnacentral:rRNA from 1 species